UCAAGGCUCAAAUAUAUCAAAUGAAGGUAACCGUCAAUAAUCAACAUACAAGUAGGCCGGAUGAGAGACGCAUAAAAGGUUUGGAAAAUAAGAUCAAUGGGUAUCGGGACAAGUUGUAAAGAUCUAAGAACAUCAUGGCAAAGCUCAAGGAACAAUGGGAUACAAAGAUAGAAGAGUAUCGCCAGUAUUUAACCAAUUGAAACG
rnacentral:lncRNA from 1 species